rnacentral:rRNA from 1 species
UACGGAGGGUGCAAGCGUUAUCCGGAUUCAUUGGGUUUAAAGGGUGCGCAGGUUGGGGAGUAAGUCAGUGGUGAAAUACUGCCGCUUAACGGUAGAACUGCCAUUGAUACUGCUUUUCUUGAGUAUGGUUGAGGUAGGUGGAAUGUGUUGUGUAGCGGUGAAAUGCAUAGAUAUGACACAGAACGCCGAUUGCGAAGGCAACUUACUAAGCCAUUACUGACGCUGAGGCACGAAAGCGUGGGUAGCGAACAGG